rnacentral:misc_RNA from 1 species
GAUGAAGAACGCAGCGAAAUGCGAUAAGUAGUGUGAAUUGCAGAAUUCAGUGAAUCAUCGAAUCUUUGAACGCACAUUGCGCCCCUUGGUAUUCCAUGGGGCAUGCCUGUUCGAGCGUCAUUUGUACCCUCAAGCUUUGCUUGGUGUUGGGCGUCUUGUCGUAUUACGACUCGCCUUAAAUACAUUGGCAGCCGGCACUUUGGCCUAGGAGCGCAGCACAUUUUGCGAUCGUAGCCCGUUGUACUGGCGUCCAUCAAGAACAUUUACCACGUUUGACCUCGGAUCAGGUAGGGAUACCCGCUGAACUUAAGCAUAUCAAUAGCGGAGGA